rnacentral:rRNA from 1 species
AGUACCGUGAGGNAAAGGCGAAAAGAACCCCGGAGAGGGGGAGUGAAAUAGAACCUGAAACCGUGUGCGUACAAGCAGUGGAAGCAGAGCAAUCUGUGACUGCGUACCUUUUUGUAUAAUGGGUCAGCGAGUUAAUAGCGUUGGCGAGCUUAACCGUGUAGGGGAGGCGAAGGGAAACCGAGUCCUAACAGGGCGAUAAGUCGGCGUUAUUAGACCCGAAGCCGGGCGAUCUAUCCAUGACCAGGGUGAAGGGACGGUAACACGUUCUGGAGGCCCGCACUCACUAAUGUUGAAAAAUUAGGAGAUGAGUUGUGGAUCGGAGUGAAAGGCUAAACAAGCUCGGAGAUAGCUGGUUCUCCUCGAAAGCUAUUUAGGUAGUGCCUUGUGGGUAAUUCGCGGGGGUAGAGCACUGUGCCGGCUAGGGGGACGUGAUAGUCCUACCAAACCGAUGCAAACUCCGAAUACCGCGAAGGUAAACCACAGGAGACACACGGCGGGUGAUAAGGUCCGUCGUGAAGAGGGAAACAGCCCAGACCGUCAGCUAAGGUCCCGAAGAGAUAGUUAAGUGGUAAACGAUGUNAGAAGGCAGAGACAGCCAGGAAGUUGGCUUAGAAGCAGCCAU